rnacentral:rRNA from 1 species
UACGGGGGGGCAAGCGUUGUUCGGAAUUACUGGGCGUAAAGGGCUCGUAGGCGGCCAACUAAGUCCGACGUGAAAUCCCAAGGCUUAACCUUGGAACUGCGUCGGAUACUGGAUGGCUUGAAUUCGGGAGAGGGAUGCAGAAUUCCAGGUGUAGCGGUGAAAUGCGUAGAUAUCUGGAGGAAUACCGGUGGCGAAGGCGGCAUCCUGGACCGACAUUGACGCUGAUGAGCGAAAGCUAGGGGAGCAAACGGG